GUAACGCGUGGGUAACCUGCCUCACACAGGGGGAUAACAGUUGGAAACGGCUGCUAAUACCGCAUAAGCGCACAGUACCGCAUGGUACAGUGUGAAAAACUCCGGUGGUGUGAGAUGGACCCGCGUCUGAUUAGCUAGUUGGCAGGGCAACGGCCUACCAAGGCGACGAUCAGUAGCCGACCUGAGAGGGUGACCGGCCACAUUGGGACUGAGACACGGCCCAAACUCCUACGGGAGGCAGCAUG
rnacentral:rRNA from 1 species